AUGGAUGGAAGAAACUCUGCAUCCAAUUGACAAGUGAAAUGGCUCAGAUAAAGUCACAGGUUUGAAGGCAAAACCAUAAACUUCUCAGCUGGAAGGAGCAGAAAUCACCCCAGCGAAGAGCAGCUGCGUCGUCUCCCCAAAUGCCCCUUUCUCACGAAGCUUUUUUUCUAGCUUUUCUUUAAAAUGCCUCCACUCAGCUUGACCCCGAAUGCAUCACUGAGGUUUCUUUCUUGGCAUACAAUCAAAGUAUACUUGAGUUGAUCAGGCUCAAGUGUAGAGGGAAAAAAUGUGAUUCCAUUAGCGUGAUCCUGAGCCUCGAUGCACAAAUCCCAGUUCUACACCCCACCUCCCCAGAAGCCUGGAAAAUGAGAUGGCCUUUGCAGUGUCAACAGAUCUGGGACAAUCCAGAUGAAGGGAGAGAGGGAAUUCCACAUACAGAGUCCCUUCUGGAGAACACCUGGUGGCAGCUCCUGCAUUUGAGAUUGUUAAUAAGAGAUUGAAUAGCACUGGGCCAAGAACCAAUCCCUGAAGAUCCCGCUAGAAACUCAUAAACAGAUAAUGAGUGUGAAACGAUGCCCCGUAUUCUACAUAGAGAUAUUAUUGUGAUAUGAUUAUGGCAUAGCUGUGAUGUACUUUAUGCAAGAUAGGUCAUGUGAAAAGGUAAUGAUUGACUGAAUAUUAAUAUCCUCUUUGUAUGCGUGUAUCAUUUUGGUAUCUGACGUUAGGAAUCUUGUCUAUGCAUCUAUUACAAAUGUAUUUACACCUGAGGAACGCCCACUAGAAAGAACGCAAUGGGUCUGGAUGGCUGGCUGGGAAGGGCCAUUAGGGAGAACAAUAGGUCUUAGAAGAUGCUAAUCUCCCACCAGGAAGCCUUCCUGAGGACACUACAAAUGGCCUCCGAAUCAUGGCUGCUGUGGUCCUACAGAGACAUGUGACCAAGUCACCUGGUACUGGACUCCAUCAUAGAAUAGUAGUGGUUUUCCACUGAAAGGUGUGGGAACUAAAAGUUGGAAACAAAGGGUUCCCACCAUAUGCAAAAGUUAUAAGGCAGGGGAGUGACAUCAUUGUGGUUCUUCUUCACUGACUCCCCACCCAAGAAGAUUGCUGGAAACACCUGAGAAACGAGGACUGAACUGGGGGAGAUGGGCUGAACCCAGGCUAGAGGGAUUUCUAGCCUGUGAAAGGUAUAACUGGGGUUUUAAGCUGCAAGCAAGUGCAGCUUGCCCUCAAGAAUCUCUGUAAACUGCCCAAACCAACAAACAUGGGGAGGAUUUGACACUCAUAUCUGAUUUCUUUAGUAUAGUAAUCUUAGAUUGCGUUUCUGUUUUAUUUUCUGGGUAAUCUGCUUUCAUCUGUUUGCUAUCCCUUAUAAUCACUUAAAAUCUAUCUUUUGUAGUUAAAAAUUUUGCUUUUGCUCUGUCAAAAA